CCUAGUAACGGCGAGUGAAGCGGCAACAGCUCAAAUUUGAAAUCUGGCUCUUUCAGAGUCCGAGUUGUAAUUUGCAGAGGGCGCUUUGGUAUCGGCAGCGGUCCAAGUUCCUUGGAACAGGACGUCACAGAGGGUGAGAAUCCCGUACGUGGUCGCUAACCUUUACCGUGUAAAGCCCCUUCGACGAGUCGAGUUGUUUGGGAAUGCAGCUCUAAAUGGGAGGUAAAUUUCUUCUAAAGCUAAAUACUGGCCAGAGACCGAUAGCGCACAAGUAGAGUGAUCGAAAGAUGAAAAGCACUUUGGAAAGAGAGUCAAAUAGCACGUGAAAUUGUUGAAAGGGAAGCGCUUGCAGCCAGACUUGCCUGUAGUUGCUCACCUGGGCUUCUGCCCGGGGCACUCUUCUAUAGGCAGGCCAGCAUCAAUUUGGGCGGUUGGAUAAAGAUCUCUGUCAUGUACCUCCUCUCGGGGAGGCCUUAUAGGGGAGAUAAAAUACAACCAGCCUGGAUUGAGGUCCGCGCAUCUGCUAGGAUGCUGGCGUAAUGGCUGUAAGCGGCCCGUCUUGAAACACGGACCAAGGAGUCUAACAUCUAUGCGAGUGUUUGGGUGUCAAGCCCGAACGCGUAAUGAAAGUGAACGGAGGUGGGAACCCUUAAGGGUGCACCAUCGACCGAUCCUGAUGUCUUCGGAUGGAUUUGAGUAAGAGCAUGGCUGUUGGGACCCGAAAGAUGGUGAACUAUGCUUGAAUAGGGUGAAGCCAGAGGAAACUCUGGUGGAGGCUCGCAGCGGUUCUGACGUGCAAAUCGAUCGUCAAAUU
rnacentral:rRNA from 1 species